UUUGCAGAUUUAAAAAAACAAAAUAAUAAAUAAUAAAAAAGAACUUGUGAUUAUAGACGUUUCAGUAUCGGGGUCGGUGCUGUGGGACUCUCUAAGCUUCACUUGGAGAGCUGAAAGAACCAAGGCAUUGACUCAGGCAUAGCUAAUGAAUUACUUCCAACCUUCAAGGAACAAACCCAAAUAUCUAUGAUAGCAAGAUAACAUCCACUGUGUUAUUGCUAGAAGCAUGCUUCAGUCUCAUCUACACGCCGAAUAAACAGCUCUGGCCUCUUUGCAAUGUUACAAACAUUUUGUGUCACUCAUUCUGCCAUGGAAAAGACUCUCCUGACCAUGUCUAAGUUUUCUCUUGGGGAGGUGAUUUCAGUGUGGAUCUCAGCGCUGUCUCAGAUACUGGUGAUGACCGAUUUCCUUGUCUCCCAGAGCCAGUUUUCACAUCCUUGCUUUAGCAUCUGAGACAGGAGCAGCUCACCUGCCCUUCCAGCCCUCUGGCAGAGGCAAAGCUCAGCAAGAUCAUGAUUGUUUCCCUGGUCCACGUAUUCUGCCAGCGUAGCUCGUGCCCAGCUCCAGCUUUGGGUUUUACAGGAUCGCUGUUCUCAAAAUACACACACUCUGUGGCCAAGGAUGAGUCAGAGGGAUGCUGUCAGUGGUGUGCUGGGUGGUACCGGUUAGUCCUUGUUUGUGGGAGUCCGUGAGCAAUUAAAGAAAGAAAAAUGUAAUUAAUGCCAAUCCGCAUGAGUUCAUGGAAAAUAGAAUGUGAUGUCUCCCUUUUAUUUAGUUGAUAGAAGUGAUAGUGGUGUACAAGACGGUGUGCAAGUGAGACAUUUGACUGGAGACCACGUGGCAUUUUGAUUAAGGAUCUAGAGCAGUAUAAAAUGAAGAGGGUGUGCAUUAAAUGGAUUAAAACCUGGCUCCCUGACAGGUCUCCAAAUAUAACUGUAAAUCAUCUGCCAGCUGUGUUUGUAGCAAAGUCCCUCCAGUAUUCUGACAUUUAAUAUCUUCAUCAAUGACAUGGGAGAAGAUGUAAAAUCACCGAUGAUGUGGUCUGCUGAUGAUCAGGGAAGUGGUAAAUAACGAAGAGGGGAGGUCACUGAUAAGGAGGAAUAGGAGAGCGCUUGGGGAACCAGGAUCAAGCGAAGCACAAAUAUGGUGAUGCAGGUGAAUGCAAGAACAAAGAAUAAGAGCUACAUUUGUAGGACAGUGCACUCUAGCAAGCAGAAUGAUGAAGCAGCUACUUCAGUGGCAAAAGUCAGCUGAAUGGAUGUCCCAGCGCUGGGCCGUGAAUGAGCAGGAGGAUACCUGGAGGCAGAAAUAGCCGAACAGAGUCUCUCAUUCAUUUGCUGCUGAUGGAAGUGUUGCUGUAGUGAGUAAAAAUAUCAAUAUAUUGGAGAAGGUUCAGGGAAGAGCCAGGAAAGCUUUGGAAGGGUGGCAAAGCCCUGAGUGACCCCGUGUGUUGAGCCACCAGAGCUAAGCUGAGCAUAGAGUUGGUCCCAGUUUGCAGAUGUGGGGAGUGAAGUAGAUAUUAGGUUGUGGGGUUUUUUUUUGUCUUGCAGACCCUGUGCAGCAACUGGAAGCUGAGUGUGGAGGCAUAAAAAUGGAGAGAAAGGCUUCAGCUUUUAGCUUCAAGGAGCGUGCUCCGUCAGGAGUUAACUUGUGUCAUCUGGGAGCUUUGACCAGGCUCAGUAACUCCCGUCAUACCUGCUUGCAGAGAAUCAGCAUCUCGGAAGGAUGGAACCACCAUUGCUAUGCUGGCAUAGCCAGGCUGGUGACUGACAUCUACAUGGGCUGGGAAGGAAAACACCAACAACCUGUUGGAUCUGUUUCGGCUGGUUCCCUACCAGAGUGGAGACACCGGAGCUGCAGGGAAGAGGCUGCCUGGGAAGUCAGAUGAGGGCAGAAAGCAUCAGUUGUUCCAGGAAAGAACCCGUCCUUGCACAUUUCCUCGUGUUUGGGCUUCAGUGUUGGACUGCAAGCUCUGCGAUGAGGAAAGAGAAAAAGAAAACACCCCCCAUCUUGCUGAGCCCCAGCAGGGUGAGCAAAGGGAAAAGGUGCUUCAGGGCAGGAAGAAACUGUGAAGAAAUAGGUUUGCAAACUCAUAUUGAAUUGUUUGGAAAAUUGUCCUGAGAGCUGCCUUUUGGGGACAGCUGUCCAGCUCUGAAGAGGGAGCAUAGAAGGGCAUGUGUGGGGGGAAGCUGUCUGGGGCUCUGGGGCUGGGACAGGAUUCAGGUUGUUGUCAUCUCUGGCGGCACUUUGGGUCUCGGCAGUGCCAUUUUUCCAGGGAGGGUGAGGAGAGACCAGGUGGGCAGAGGAAAGGCUCCAAGAAAUCCUCCUUCCCCAUAGGAGCAACAUCUCCAAUGAUGGGACCCAAAGGAAUGGUAGGAAAAUGUGCCAGGGCAGGGUCAGUUGUACAUGAGGAAAAGGUUCUUCACCCAGAGGUGCUGGACGCUGGAACAGGCUCCCCAGGGAGGUGUCACAGCCGCAAGCCUGACAGCGUUCAAGAAGAGACUGGACAACGUACUCAGACACAUGGUGUGACCUGUGGGGUUGUCUUGUGCAGGGACAGGAGUUGGACUCGAUGAUCCUUGUGGGUCCUUCCAACCCAGGACAUUCUGUGAUCUCCUUCUGCAACAGGAGAGGUCCCAGUUGCCAGAACCAGUCCAGGCAGGCAGCAGGGUGGAAAAGGAUGGACAAUUGGUGUUGUCACCUCUGGGCCCCCUCCCUGCGGGUAAUCUGGAGGUCAUGGCGGUGCUACAAUGCCCCUGUGCUCAAGGAAAAUGUGUAGAAGGACCCGAGUCUGCGCUUGGAGAUGUGCAUGGGAUGGUGGUACCCAACCUCAGCUCUGAUGCUUGUGAGACUCCCGAGCCACUGGUGGCUGCAGGAAUCAAUAAACGGAGGCUCGGCGAAGAAGGAUGUUGCCCUUAAUGUCCCAAGGGAUAUUGCCCGUGGGUGUAAGGAUGCUGGUGUGGCUCUCCACUGGUGGAACCACAGCCAAUAUCUACUCUGGGCUGUUUAACAGCAGAAACAAAUGCGUCUAUCUCGCCUUGGCUGCACGUGGCAUGCACAGGGGGACUGUUCCUUAUUAGCGCUCGCAGUCGUUGGCAAGAACCGCUGGAACGGAGAUGGAGCUCCAACUGCUAUUCCUGCCUGUCCUCCUCCACUUGUGCUCACAUCUUUCUCAGACUCUUUCCUUUUGGGUUGAAAUUUUCCAUGUUUCGUGUCCACCCGGUGACAGUUUUUUGCUGAAGGUAUCGACUGUGCUGGUUGGAGUCCUCUCUGUGGAGCUCCUUGCUGAUCACUGCCCCAUGGUGGAUGUCCGUCUUUCAUGUCUGAGGAGAUGUCAAGCUGAAGAAAAUCUUUAGAGGGUGGAGUCUGAUUUAUUUACUUGUUUAUUUGUUUGGAAAAGUGACUUGAAAGUUUACAUUUCAGUCAACUGGAACUUAAAAGGAAAUCCUUUAUUUAGAUCUCCCCCAGUGGAAAACCAAACAGCCCUGGCAAAAUUGAAGUUUUUCCAUGGAACAUUCAGAUUUUGUGAAAACUACACAUUCUGUUGAAAAAAAUAUUUUGAUCUCUAGUUUUUGCUCUGCUCUACUUUUUUAAGGAAGAUUCAAAAACAUAAAGGUGAAAAUCUUCUACUUCCUACAUCUAUUAGAUGAACUAUUUUUUUUUUAGCAUGACUUCAAUUCCAUCUCCUUAGCGAGGAGGCCAGAAAAAAUAUUCAGCUUAAGGAAAAGCAUUUUAUCAGUUAUGAAACUGUGAAAGUUUAAAAUUAGUAUCUUAGUGCAAGUAUUGGAUUUGCCGCCUGCCUUUCUGCCUAUCUGGGUCGAGGACGCCCGACUUAGAAACCUGGUGUUAACUUAGUUAAGAGUAUCUCUGGUAGGAGACAUUUGUUUUCUUGGUUUUGUGUUUGUGUUUUGGGGUUUUUUUAAGGACAGUUGAAAUACAGAAAAAUCUGUUUAGGGCUAAAAAUUACCCCUGGGAACAGGGAGAUUUCCAUUCAUGGUGAUUCUGUAACAGUGAUUCCAGGGUUGAAUUUACAGGACUAUUGUGGUUUAAUACAUGCUUUUCCUCUGGAUUUUUGAACUUAAAGACUGUUUUCCUUAGACAGCCUCAUUUUUCUUAGAAAGUGACGAUAACCAAAUACGAAGCUUGACUAGUCAAAUCUUCAAAGGUUAGCAAGUUCCAGUCCAAGGAUUAGUGGCAUUAGAAAACUGAUACAAGGUCAUGGUGCAAAUGCGGAAUUUUCCCCUGUUCCCUUCUCUCCCUCGUUGUGGUGGGGCAACUACUUGAAUAUUCAGAAAUUGUCCCCACGAGUAGAUAUUAAUUUGGUACUUUCAGACAUGCACAUACAUGUACGAAAUCGGUGUAGUCUAUGCCCUGAAGAGAUGAAAUAGUUCCUUGAAUGCGCAAUGCAUUCAAAAUGGCUAAUUUG